rnacentral:rRNA from 1 species
AUGUACCUACGGGGCGCAGCAGUAGGGAAUCUUCCACAAUGGACGAAAGUCUGAUGGAGCAACGCCGCGUGAGUGAAGAAGGGUUUCGGCUCGUAAAGCUCUGUUGGUAGUGAAGAAAGAUAGAGGUAGUAACUGGCCUUUAUUUGACGGUAAUUACUUAGAAAGUCACGGCUAACUACGUGCCAGCAGCCGCGGUAAUACGUAGGGUGCAAGCGUUAUCCGGAUUUAUUGGGCGUAAAGGGCUCGUAGGCGGU